GGUUGACAAGAGUCGGGACCUGUUCCAGUUUCUUUCCGCGGUAAUACGUAUCAAAUAGUCUCUAUCACCGGGAGAAAAACUGGAGUAGGUCCCUUGACUCGU
rnacentral:pre_miRNA from 1 species